AAGAUAGACAUCCAAGAACCGCUAACUCUUGCCACCGUAUAUAAAAAUACGGCUCUCUUG
rnacentral:tRNA from 1 species